GUACGCUGGCGGCACGCCUAACACAUGCAAGUCGAACGAAGUAGCAAUACUUAGUGGCAGACGGGUGAGUAACAUGUAGGUAUCUGCCCUUUGGCCUGGAAUAACACGAGGAAACUUGUGCUAAUACCGGAUAAGUCUUUACGGAGAAAGCUUUAUGCACCAUUGGAUGAGCCUGCACUUGAUUAGUUUGUUGGUGGGGUAAUGGCCUACCAAGACUGUAAUCAAUAGCUGAUUUGAGAGGAUGAUCAGCCACAUUGGGACUGAGACACGGCCCAAACUCCUACGGGAGGCAGCAGUGGGGAAUCUUGCACAAUGGAGGAAACUCUGAUGCAGCGAUGCCGCGUGAGUGAAGAAGGCCUUUGGGUUGUAAAGCUCUUUCGUCGGGGAAGAAAAUGACUGUACCCGAAUAAGAAGGUCCGGC
rnacentral:rRNA from 1 species